GUUACUAUAGUUGAAGUACAACAGUGGUUUUUCAGGCCUCAGGUUCUGGUUGAAGUACAGAUGGUAAUG